rnacentral:tRNA from 1 species
UCCCAGUUAGUACAAUGGUUAGUAUAGGGCAUUCUCACUGCUCAGAUCAGGGUUCGAUUCCCUGGCCGGGAA